rnacentral:rRNA from 1 species
UACGUAGGUGCCAAGCGUUGUCCGGAUUUACUGGGCGUAAAGAGCGCGCAGGCGGUCGAAUAAGUCGAAUGUGAAAGCCCCCGGCUUAACUGGGGAGGGUCAUUCGAUACUGCUCGACUUGAAGGCAGGAGAGGGUAGUGGAAUUCCCGGUGUAGUGGUGAAAUGCGUAGAUAUCGGGAGGAACACCAGUGGCGAAGGCGACUACCUGGCCUGUUCUUGACGCUGAGGCGCGAAAGCUGGGGGAGCAAACGGG